rnacentral:rRNA from 1 species
UACGAAGGGUGCAAGCGUUACUCGGAAUUACUGGGCGUAAAGCGCGCGUAGGCGGCUAAUUAAGUCAAAUGUGAAAUCCCCCGAGCUUAACUUGGGAAUUGCAUUCGAUACUGGUUAGCUAGAGUGUGGGAGAGGAUGGUAGAAUUCCAGGUGUAGCGGUGAAAUGCGUAGAGAUCUGGAGGAAUACCGAUGGCGAAGGCAGCCAUCUGGCCUAACACUGACGCUGAGGUGCGAAAGCAUGGGGAGCAAACAGG